GGGGCAUUAAUAUUUAAUUGUCAGAGGUGAAAUUCUUGGAUUUAUGAAAGAUUAACUUCUGCGAAAGCAUCUGCCAAGGAUGUUUUCAAAUCAAGAACGAAAGUUAGGGGAUCGAAGACGAUCAGAUACCGUCGUAGUCUUAACCAUAAACGAUGCCGACCAGCGAUUAGGAGACGUUGAAUACAAAACACCACCAUCGGCGCGGUCGCCCUUGGCGUCGCGUUCACGCGCGGCGCGAGGACG
rnacentral:rRNA from 1 species